rnacentral:rRNA from 1 species
GACGUAGGGACCAAGCGUUGUUCGGAUUUACUGGGCGUAAAGGGCGCGUAGGCGGCGCUGUAAGUCACUUGUGAAAUCUCCGGGCUUAACUCGGAACGGUCAAGUGAUACUGCAGUGCUAGAGUGCAGAAAGGGCAAUCGGAAUUCUUGGUGUAGCGGUGAAAUGCGUAGAUAUCAAGAGGAACACCUGAGGCGAAGGCGGGUUGCUAGGCUGACACUGACGCUGACAGCGCGAAAGCCAGGGGAGCAAACGGG